GAUAAACGCUGGCGGCGUGCCUAAAACAUGCAAGUCGAACGGUUCUUGGUCUUCGGACCAGGGAGAGUGGCGGACGGCUGAGUAACACGUGGGUGACCUGCCCUCGAACGGGGGAUAACUGCCCGAAAGGGUGGCUAAUACCGCAGAUGUCGAUCCUUCGGUGGGUUGACUGAACCGUUUAGGGUUCGAGGAGGGCCCGCGGCCAAUUAGCUUGCUGGUGGGGUAAAGGCCUACCAGGGCUUCGAUCGGUAGCGGUCUGAGAGGAUGAUCAGCCAGACUGGGACUGCGAACGGCCCAGACUCCUACGGGAGGCAGCAGUUAGGAAUUUUGGGCAAUGGGCGAAAGCCUGACCCAGCAACGCCGCGUGGGUGAUGAAGGCCC
rnacentral:rRNA from 1 species